GGAAAUGCAUUUCAUCAAGAAAGGUCUUCUUGUACAAUAUCCACCAACCAGUUGGGGAAAGAGACAUUCCAAAAAACAGGCUUAUCACUAUGCGCCGCAAACUGAGCAAGGCAGUGUGCAGCUCUAUUCGCAGAGCGAUACAUAUGGAAAAUCCCCACAAGUAAAUCACCUCUAACUGCUCGAAUAAUGUCAUGGACGUCUUCCGGUAGCAGCUCAUCCCCUUCUUCUUCCCUGGCCAUAGCUCGAGCAGCAACAUAUGAAUCAGUAAACACUUCAAUUGGCUUCACAUUAUGUUCCAAGCUGAACACAAUUCCUCCCACCACAGCCAUAAUUUCAGCAAUAAAUACGUUGGUCGUUGGCUGUGUUCUUCUCGCUUGGGCAGCAACAAUAUGGCCGUUGUGGUAACGAAUAAUUGUUCCAAUCCCAAACGAAUUGUUGUUUGGAUCGAAGAGAGCAUCAACAUCAACUCUAUACCUUCCAUUCGCCGGUCGCUGCCACUUUCUCUCGCCGCAAGUAAAGCCCAACUGGUAUUUACUAAACGUUAGAUAAGGAAAUUGUG
rnacentral:lncRNA from 1 species